rfam:Solanum tuberosum cultivar DM 1-3 516 R44 scf00204_44, whole genome shotgun sequence.
UGCAGUCACUGAUGAAUUUUUCCCAUAAUUGCUGAUUGACCAGUGAUUAAUAUAAAAAUAUCACUAUCUUUCGGCUGGGAUUGCA